GCCUUGUGGUGUACAGCACAUAAAAUUGCAAAUUUUAAAGAGCAGAAUGACUCUUGCCGGGGCUU
rnacentral:tRNA from 2 species